UUAAGUAGUGGUGCCGCUCUUAUUAGAAUCCAGAAUAAUAAGAGUCGCUCACUGCUUAUCA
rfam:Caenorhabditis remanei strain PB4641 contig15.11, whole genome shotgun sequence.